rnacentral:lncRNA from 13 species
UAUUUAAUCAACGAGAUUCAGAGACGGAAGCACAAGCCCAGGAUGAUCCUUCCCGAGAAAGCAGUCUCCGUACUUCGUCUGGAACCAAGAUUCAUAACUCCAGCGAUUAGAACCUGUUCGGAUGCACUCAAAUGCAAAGUUUGUCGUGCCAUGAGAUAUUUUCCUCCUGAACAAUGCAGUAUGGUCAAUGUUAAAGUGAUCGGGUGUUUACUGUUUGUAUGUGAUGGCGACACACUAUAGUUAUACCGGUGAUUCAAGAACAGAUUGGAAUAUUCCAUCUGCGACUUGCUCUCAAUGUUUAAGGACUAUGGGAGCAAUACAAUGAUCUAAAUACUACAGUAAAAUCUUGUUCACAUAAUGAGACAAUUAGUCCUAUUGCUGCAGUUUAUAUCAUAUAUGAAGAUAAUUAAAUAUGAUUGCAUCGUUCGAUGUAGACUGUCAUAAUCAUUUAAAUUUGACAUAUUCGUCUAUAAGACCACCACGACGCGGAAAAAACAAGAUCUAACGAUUGAAAGUGAUAGAGGCACAGUUGUCGAGAGCAAUCAUGUCACUCCAGAACCGAGUAAUGUAGCGGCAAAUCAUCAUCGUCAUCAGCUCAGAAUCAAAACAAAACACCAACAUGAUUCAAACAGGCAUUC